CCUACGGGAGGCAGCAGUGGGGAAUAUUGGGCAAUGGGCGCAAGCCUGACCCAGCAACGCCGCGUGAAGGAAGAAGGCUUUCGGAUUGUAAACUUCUUUUCUCAGGGACGAAGCAAGUGACGGUACCUGAGGAAUAAGCCACGGCUACCUACGUGACAGCAGCCGCGGGAAUACGUAGGUGGCAAGCGUUAUCCGGAUUUACUGGGUGGAAAGGGCGUGUAGGCGGGACUUCAAGUCAGUGGUGAAAACCAUGGGCUCAACGUAUGGACUGCAUUUGAAACUGUAGUUAUUGAGUACUGGAGAGGCAGGCGGAAUUCCUGGUGUAGCGGUGAAAUGCGUAGAUAUUAGGAGGAACACCAGUGGCGAAGGCGAUCUGCUGGACAGCAACUGACGCUGAGGCGCGAAAGCGUGGGGAGCAAACAGGAUUAGAUACCCGUGUAGUC
rnacentral:rRNA from 1 species